rnacentral:rRNA from 1 species
UACGUAGGGGGCGAGCGUUGUCCGGAGUUACUGGGCGUAAAGCGCUUGUAGGCGGUCCACCAAGUUUGGGGUGACAGUUGCCUACUUAAUCGGCAAAGUGCCUCAAAGACUGGCGGACUUGAGGGCCACAGAGGGACAUGGAACUCCAGGUGUAGUGGUGAAAUGCGUAGAUAUCUGGAAGAACACCAAAGGCGAAGGCAGUGUCCUGGGUGGUCGCUGACGCUGAGAGGCGAAAGCCAGGGGAGCGAACGGG